rnacentral:rRNA from 1 species
GACGAACGCUGGCGGCGUGCUUAACACAUGCAAGUCGAACGGUGAAGCCCUGAGUUUAUUGGGUGUUGAAGUGGCGCACGCGUGAGUGACACGUGAGUAACCUGCCCCUGACUGUGGGAUAAAACCAGGGAACUGGGUCUCAUACAGGAUAUGAAAAUGGGCGGCAUGGGUCAGGUUGGUGAAAUUCGCCGGUUGGGGAUGGACUGGCGGCCUUUCAUCUUGUUGGUGAGGUAGUGACUUACCAACGCACCGACGGGGAGCCGGACUGAGAGGGUGACAGGCCACAGUGGGACUGAGACACGGCCCAGACUGCUACGGGAGGAAGGAGGGGGGAAUAUUGCACAAUGGGCGGAAGGAGGAUGCAGCGACGUCGCGUGGGGGAUGACGGUCGUCGGGUUGGAAACCGCGUUCGGCUGGGAAGAAGCGAGAGUGACGGUAACUUGAAAAGAAGCACCGGCUAACUACGUG